AAAGUACAACCCCUGAAAAUGGCAAAAACGACACAAAUUUUGCAGAGAAAAUUCAAAAUAACUGACUUCCUGUUGGGAUUCGAAUUUCGUACCAAGAGACUUUUUUGUAGGUAUUGGUGUGUUACAUGUGUGUACCGAUUUUUGUACAUGUAUGUGAAACGUAGCUCGAGGCGCACUCCGUUGAAAGUGUAUAGGUGGCGCUAUCGAGGCAUUUUGCCACACCCGAUGGAAUAUUGGCCUUCAGAUGUGUUCAGGCCAGGACUCUUAUCAAACAUGUGAAGUUUGGGCAAGAUCGGACAUUUUAUGCCUGAGUUACAAUAACUUUUAUUCCCAUGGCGAGACAUCGAACUUUGUGACGGCGCCAUGGACACGCCCUUUAACGAAAACUCAAGAUCUUCACAAUUUAACAUCGCACAGGCCUUUAGAAUAGAGUGACUGAAAAAAAAAAUGUAUGUCAUAAAAUUUCUCGGGGUAGUUUGUUACAGUGUAAAAUAUGUCACUUCCUGUUGCCAGUAGGUGGCGCUAUGACUAUAACUGAAUAUGGGCAUAUCAAUCUGUUCAGGUCAGGAGUCUUAUCAAACAUGUGAAGUUUGUGGCAGAUUGGACAUUGUAUGUCUGAGUUAUAGCAACUUCAUUUUUCAUGGCGAAUCAUCGAAAUUCGUCAGGCCGC
ensembl:lncRNA